AGAAAGAAAUAAAUAAGAUUGAAGCCAGGAACUGUGCUGUGAAGGAUUGCACUUUAGGACUGUUUGCUUUAGGAUGCUAAAUGAAGUGUCUGUGUGCUUCCCAUCCUUUCAUAGAUAAACUGACUUUCACAUGCAUGAUCUGAGUUUUCAAAUCCUGGGAGCGAUCUCAGAAAAAUGUUUCCUUCCAGUGAAAAUACGGAGGAUGGGUUUGAUUCUGGAAUCUGCUGCCCAUGUGAAUAACACCAGGAAAUGAACAACUAGAAAAUUGGUGUCAAAAUUUGGAGUGAGCCCAUGGUCUUUAAAUUAUUGAUGUUGAAUCCAGUGACUUCAGCAUUAAUGUCUUUGGAUUUAAUUGUUCUGAAGACUGGAACUCACAACAGGAAGAUAAAUUAUUACAGUCUUGGUGCAGAUUUGCCUCCUUCCCUGAGAUGGAAAAUUUACACGAACUAGAAUUACAGGAAAGCUGAGUCUCCUUCAAGAGCAACGCAGAAGGGAAAGAAGUUUGAACUGCAGAAGAUACCUUUGGGUAAACUCAGAAAAGGCAAGAAAUAGGAAAUCUAUCCCUGCUGGGAAAUCAUUUGAAGAAGAAAGUAUUUGAAAGAGUAAUGAUUUUCCCAGCCAAAGUCUGGACCACACAGUCAUCCAAAGAACAAUACAAUAUAUCAAGUUCUGGAGAGCAUAAAUACAGAAUGUCUCACAAAUUAUGUCAGUCAGGAUUUUGACAUUGCAAUGAUUGAAAUACCUAUUUAACAUAUACAAGUCUGUGAGUCAGUCCAAUGAAUGAUAUUAAAAUUAGACAGAUUCUCCAGAAAACUGGUCAAAACCAUUUAUUUUUUCCUAUUAUUCCUCACAUUCAGUGUAAAGUGAGCCCAAAUCUUGGAAAACCUGUCAUAUUUAAGAAAAGUAUUUAAAACUUUCUUAGCUCAUGUAAUUCUGGAGAGACUGAAAAGGGAAAUCUAAAGUUUGAGAUAUUUUACAGGCAUUAGAGAGAGAGAGAUAGGCAAUCACCAGCCAUAUGAAGUUCAGCCA